rnacentral:rRNA from 1 species
UACGGGGGGGGGUAAGCGUUGUUCGGAAUUACUGGGCGUAAAGGGCUCGUAGGCGGCCAACUAAGUCAGACGUGAAAUCCCUCAGCUUAACUGGGGAACUGCGUCUGAUACUGGAUGGCUUGGAUUUGGGAGAGGAAUGCGGAAUUCCAGGUGUAGCGGUGAAAUGCGUAGAUAUCUGGAGGAACACCGGUGGCGAAGGCGGCAUUCUGGACCAAUAUUGACGCUGAGGAGCGAAAGCCAGGGGAGCAAACGGGG